UGCACCUGUGUCAACUGACAUCAGUAUCUAUUUAUUCAGUUUAUUUAGGCAGUUCACAAGGCACACCUGCACCCGCUCAGGCACAGAACACCAUUUCUCUUCUAGUGAAAGGAAACAAAACAUGUUUAAGAGAUCAAGACUUUGGAGAUGAUUUCCAGCAACCUGUCUGAUCAGAGGCAAUCACGGGACAAUUGAAACAUGAACACACAAAUAUGUGUGGUGUCUUGUCAAACUGUUUCCAACCUGUCUGCCUUGGCUCCAACCAAAAAACUUUUUAAGGGUACUGUUUUAGACAGAAGAUCAGAAGAGAGCCUGAAGAAAAUACAGGAAAAAAAUACAACAUGAUUCACUCAUAAUCUAUUUAUGGCAUGGCUUUCAAUCUUAUUUAAGAAAGCAUAUUUCCAAAGGAGACUGUGGGCCUGAUUCAGCAUGAUGAGAUUUCAUAGUAAGAUUUGUCAAUUACAUUCCAACAUAAAACAAAUCAUUCUGUGGAACUAUAUUUAGGUCUUGGUAGAGCUGGACCUGAAUUUUCACUAAUCACUAAUCAUGAGUUCUAACUUUAAUGUCUGUGGGACAGGUCAAGUCCUUGCUGCUGAAGGAAAACCACACUGUAUUUUUUGUAUUU